rnacentral:rRNA from 1 species
AUUGAACGCUGGCGGCAUGCCUUACACAUGCAAGUCGAACGGCAGCGCGGGAGCAAUCCUGGCGGCGAGUGGCGAACGGGUGAGUAAUAUAUCGGAACGUGCCCAGUAGUGGGGGAUAGCCCGGCGAAAGCCGGAUUAAUACCGCAUGAGACCUGAGGGUGAAAGCGGGGGAUCGCAAGACCUCGCGCUAUUGGAGCGGCCGAUAUCAGAUUAGCUAGUUGGUGGGGUAAAGGCCUACCAAGGCAACGAUCUGUAGUUGGUCUGAGAGGACGACCAGCCACACUGGGACUGAGACACGGCCCAGACUCCUACGGGAGGCAGCAGUGGGGAAUUUUGGACAAUGGGCGCAAGCCUGAUCCAGCAAUGCCGCGUGCAGGAAGAA